UACGUAGGGGGGCAAGCGUUUGUUCGGAUUCAUUGGGCGUAAAGGGUGUGUAGGUGGCGCGCUAAGUCGGGUGUGAAAUUUCGGAGCUUAACUCCGAAACUGCAUUCGAUACUGCCGUGCUUGAGGACUGGAGAGGAGACUGGAAUUUAGGUGUAGCGGUGAAAUGCGUAGAUAUCAUAGGAAGACCAGUGGCGAAGGCGGGUCUCUGGACAGUUCCUGACACUGAGCACGAAGGCCAGGGGAGCAAACGGG
rnacentral:rRNA from 1 species